UGGCUAAAGGGUUAUACUUCAUACUAACUGAAUAAAGAAAUGGUAGAAUCAGUACAACGAGCUAUGGCUCCUUUUCUAUGAAAUAAGAACUCAAGAACUUCUUCCCUUCCCACCUAAAGUCGCUUGCUUUUCCAUAAAUAAACCCUUUGAAACAGCCACUGAAUGCAUAACCUGUAUGGUGGAAAACAUUCUGUGGACAAUAUCUUAAUGCUUUGCUAAAAUGAACCGUUCCAUGAUAUAUUUCUACCAGUUGGUUCCCCAAAGCCCUUCCCACUAAAUACAAUGCCUUCAGCGCAACAGAUACUUUUAACAUAAAUUCAUUCUAUAUUCAGAUUUUUCAAUUAUAGUGCUUAUGCUGUCAUUUUUGUCAGGAUAAUAAUAACAGGUAUAAAUAGCUCUCUUUCUGUAAUCUAAAACCAACUGUAAAAGAAAGUAGACACUAAGAUACCAAAAAUAUUUCAUACUUAAAGCCAAAUGCGUUUAGUUCUUUUCCAUGCAGCACGUCAUAACAAAGUAUCUAUGCACUUACUGUUUCUUUUCCAAAGCAGCAGUUUGGGCCAACCUUUGAGGAUCUACUUGUCCCCCAUGGAAACUGAUCAUCAGGUCUCCCAGAUAGUGUGUGUGUGGGGCUGGCUGAAACUUUCCAGAUCACCGCAUCUGGACAAUGAGAUGCUGGACCUCUCAUCUGACCGCUGCUGCCUGCUGACCAACUCUUUUUCCUUACCUCUCCCUAACUCCUGUUUCCCUGCACGUAGUUAUAUUUCUUCCCUGCUAUAUAAACUCCUAACUUUCAUGGUUGGAGAGACGGAUUUGAGACUUGUUUCCUGGCUGACAUCACUCACAAUAAAAGCCUUUCUUUUCUGGUAA